UACGUAGGGUGCAAGCGUUGUCCGGAAUUAUUGGGCGUAAAGAGCUCGUAGGCGGUCUGUCGCGUCGGCUGUGAAAUCCCGAGGCUCAACCUCGGGUCUGCAGUCGAUACGGGCAGACUAGAGUGCGGUAGGGGAGAUUGGAAUUCCUGGUGUAGCGGUGGAAUGCGCAGAUAUCAGGAGGAACACCGAUGGCGAAGGCAGAUCUCUGGGCCGUAACUGACGCUGAGGAGCGAAAGCGUGGGGAGCGAACAGG
rnacentral:rRNA from 1 species